CUCAGCAGUCACUGGUCCCUCCCUCACUGCACUCUGCCAGCUCUUCUCAGGAGACUUUUCUUUUUGUUCCCAAGUGGAAAUGCGCCACUCGUGACAGAAACAACCAGUGAUUGGAAAUGAAGGUUCUACACAAGCAGGAGGGGAGUUCCUCUUUUGGCAAAGAGACUGAUAGUUAGCAAAGUUACCUGACAGGCCUGCUGAGUCCACUCAGCCACUCCACCUGUUAGGGGGGAAAGGCUGUCCUAAAGCUAAUUCCAUACAGGCUUUGUGGACGCCACCCCCACCCCAGGCCAAAGCCAAAGACACGGGGAACUCCAAAUCCCAUCCCCACCAAAGGGAAGGUGGCUGGGACCUGAGGGUGGGGUUAAGCAGCCAGGUUGGUAUAAAGCCAGACAUGUGGGCUUUGGAGGGGUCCCCCAUUUUGGCUCUCCGCCAGCUCGCAGCGUCCGACCAGCUCGGAGAGUGACUUUGGGUUUCCAGGUCGUCGGAUCAGGUUUUAGGUUCUUGCUCAGGUGCCCAGGGCGGCAAUGACCUCGCUUCCUUAUGAACCAAGUCCGGCUGCAACGAGUGUGAGAUGCGGGAAUAAACUUCAACCCCUUUGGGAUUCAACUUCUCAUCCAUUAGUAAUCGUGGGAUGGAUGCAGCUCUUAAACCUUUCCCCAGGUAAAAUCCUUCUGUUCGAAGCACCAGAAGCACCGAAUCCUACUCUGUGGUCACUCAGUACUAGAAAGGUCCACUGUGCCCUGUUCCUUCUUCCUCAGAAGAGUCACUUUCCGUAAGAAAAUGAAGACCGAGAGGUUCUCCUUCCCGUGACACCCCGGACCAGGGGAAGCUGCUCUUCACGUGGUAUUAAGCACAGUCAGGGGCAUCAAUGGUCAGCAGGGAAGAUGCAGGAAGGGCUGCUCCUGACAUGGACGUCUCCUCUGCAGGUUAGUCUGGGCUGCCUGCCCAGCGGAGGGAGCUGUUCUUCCCCUCUGUGUGAACUGCCAGCACCCCAGCUUGCACCUGCCCACCCCCAGCUCCCAGGGAGGCCUCCGCCCCAGUGGAGACAUUUGGCUGACAGCGAUUUAGAGUGUGAUCUGUUCCUCACCUGGAACCAUAAUCCCAGUGAACUGCGGAACUGAAACCAGCAGGGACAGAGUCGUGUGGCCUGAAACCCAGAGCUCUAGACCAGCAGCAGGCCUUCUCCCCGCUC